GUCGAGCGAAUGGAUUAAGAGCUUGCUCUUAUGAAGUUAGCGGCGGACGGGUGAGUAACACGUGGGUAACCUGCCCAUAAGACUGGGAUAACUCCGGGAAACCGGGGCUAAUACCGGAUAACAUUUUGAACCGCAUGGUUCGAAAUUGAAAGGCGGCUUCGGCUGUCACUUAUGGAUGGACCCGCGUCGCAUUAGCUAGUUGGUGAGGUAACGGCUCACCAAGGCAACGAUGCGUAGCCGACCUGAGAGGGUGAUCGGCCACACUGGGACUGAGACACGGCCCAGACUCCUACGGGAGGCAGCAGUACGGAAUCUUCCGCAAUGGACGAAAGUCUGACAGAACAACGCCGCGUGAGUGAUGAAGGCUUUCGGGUCGUAAAACUCUGGUGG
rnacentral:rRNA from 1 species